AGGAGAGUUUGAUCCUGGCUCAGGAUGAACGCUGGCGGCGUGCAUAACACAUUCAAGUCGAACGGUGAAGUUCCUUCGGGAACGGAGCAGUGGCGGACGGGUGAGUAACGCGUGAGCAACCUGCCGUAUAGUGGGGGAUAACACAGGGAAACUUGUGCUAAUACCGCAUGACACACGGAGACCGCAUGGUUUCUGUGUCAAAGAUUUAUUGCUGUACGAUGGGCUCGCGUAUGAUUAGACAGUUGGCAGGGUAACGGCCUACCAAAUCAACGAUCAUUAGCCGAACUGAGAGGUUGAACGGCCACAUUGGAACUGAGAAACGGUCCAGACUCCUACGGGAGGCAGCAGUGGGGAAUAUUGGGCAAUGGGCGAAAGCCUGACCCAGCGACGCCGCGUGAGGGAAGAAGGUCUUCGGAUUGUAAACCUCUUUCAGCAGGGAAGAAGGCAGUGACGGUACCUGCAGAAGAAGUCACGGCUAACUACGUGCCAGCAGCCGCGGUAAUACGUAGGUGGCGAGCGUUAUCCGGAAUUACUGGGUGUAAAGGGUGUGUAGGCGGGAUUGCAAGUCAGGCGUGAAAUCAUAAGGCUCAACCUUGUGACUGCGCUUGAAACUGUAAUUCUUGAGAGUGGGAGAGGUAAACGGAAUUCCUGGUGUAGUAGUGAAAUGCGUAGAUAUCAGGAGGAACACCGGUGGCGAAGGCGGUUUACUGGACCACAACUGACGCUGAGACACGAAAGCGUGGGGAGCAAACAGGAUUAGAUACCCUGGUAGUCCCCU
rnacentral:rRNA from 1 species